CAAACUACACACAACACACCACAUCACACCAUCAGGUCAAACACAAACAACACACCACAUCACACCAUCAGGUCAAACACAAACUACAGACAACACACCACAUCACACCAUCAGGUCAAACACAAACUACAGACAACACACCACAUCACACCAUCAGGUCAAACACAAACUACAGACAACACACCACAUCACACCAUCAGGUCAAACACAAACUACAGACAACACACCACAUCACACCAUCAGGUCAAACACAAACAACACAAUACAUCACACCAUCAGGUCAAACACAAACUACAGACAACACACCACAUCACACCAUCAGGUCAAACACAAACACCACACCACAUCACACCAUCAGGUCAAACACAAACUACAGACAACACACACCAUCAGGUCAAACACAAACUACAGACAACACACCACAUCACACCAUCAGGUCAAACACAAACUACAGACAACACACCACAUCACACCAUCAGGUCAAACACAAACAACACACCACAUCACACCAUCAGGUCAAACACAAACUACAGACAACACACCACAUCACACCAUCAGGUCAAACACAAACUACAGACAACACACCACAUCACACCAUCAGGUCAAACACAAACUACAGACAACACACACCAUCAGGUCAAACACAAACUACAGACAACACACACCAUCAGGUCAAACACAAACUACAGACAACACACACCAUCAGGUCAAACACAAACUACA